UAACACGUAAACAACCUGCCUUCAGGAUGGGGACAACAGACGGAAACGACUGCUAAUACCGAAUAAGUUCCAAGGGCCGCAUGGCCCAUGGAAGAAAAGGUGGCCUCUACCUGUAAGCUAUCGCCUGAAGAGGGGUUUGCGUCUGAUUAGCUGGUUGGAGGGGUAACGGCCCACCAAGGCGGCGAUCAGUAGCCGGUCUGAGAGGAUGAACGGCCACACUGGAACUGAGACACGGUCCAG
rnacentral:rRNA from 1 species